rnacentral:rRNA from 1 species
UACGUAGGUGGCAAGCGUUGUCCGGAAUUAUUGGGCGUAAAGGGCGCGUAGGCGGUUCUUUAAGUCAGAUGUGAAAACCCGAGGCUCAACUUCGGGCGUGCAUUUGAAACUGGAGGACUCGAGUGCAGGAGAGGAAAGUGGAAUUCCUAGUGUAGCGGUGAAAUGCGUAGAGAUUAGGAGGAACACCAGUGGCGAAGGCGACUUUCUGGACUGUAACUGACGCUGAGGCGCGAAAGCGUGGGGAGCAAACAGG